GAUGAACGCUGGCGGCGUGCUUAACACAUGCAAGUCGAACGAAGCGCUUAAACGGAUUUCUUCGGAAUGAAGUUUUUGCGACUGAGUGGCGGACGGGUGAGUAACGCGUGGGUAACCUGCCUCAUACAGGGGGAUAACAGUUAGAAAUGACUGCUAAUACCGCAUAAGCGCACAGUGCUGCAUGGCACAGUGUGAAAAACUCCGGUGGUAUGAGAUGGACCCGCGUCUGAUUAGCUAGUUGGUGGGGCAACGGCCCACCAAGGCGACGAUGCGUAGCCGGCCUGAGAGGGCGGACGGCCACACUGGGACUGAGACACGGCCCAG
rnacentral:rRNA from 1 species